rnacentral:ncRNA from 1 species
UAGUUUGAUUCUGACUCGUGUUUUGUUUAAACCUAAAAGCCAAAUACAAGCAUAAGGGACUUAAUGUCAAGAAGUAGUGGUUCAUUUUGAUUAUCAAAUUUUUGGAAUCAGUCAAGGUUUUUAAGAUCGGCUUAACUCGUGCCAGCCGCCGCGGUUAUACGAAGGAUUUAAAUGAAACAGAUUGGUGGAAUUAAGUAAAUAUUGAUUUUAAAGGGAUUUUUUUGAUGAAAAAUUAGGGGUAAAAUCUUUCUUUUUUUAAAUUAGAAAUUUUUAGUAAAUUUAUUAACUUUGUAGAUAGGGGUUUAAACUAGGAUUAGAUACCCUAUUAUUCCCUAUUAAAUUUGUUGCCAGGGUAGUAGAGAUCUUUAAACCUAAAGAAUUUGGCGGUACUUCAUUCUUACUAGAGGAACCUGCUCUUGGAUCGAUAUUCCACGUUUAAAUGUACAUAUUUUUGUAUUCAGUUUGUAUACCGCCGUUGUCAGAUUAUUUUUAGAAAAUAUAAUCUAGUUAAUUUAAAGUUUAUGACUUCAGGUCAAGGUGCAGCUUAUAAAUAUGGGAGAAGUGGGUUACAAUAAAUUAUAAUUAUACGGAUUAGUAUGUGUAAACAUAUUAUUAAGGUGGAUUUAGUAGUAAAUUUAGAAUAGAAUUCUUUAUUGAAGUUGGCUCUGAGGUGUGUACACAUCGCCCGUCGCUCUCUCCUCUAAGGAGAGAUAAGUCGUAACAUAGUAGAUGUACUGGAAAGUGUCUCUAGAUAGU